GGUGGGAGUCCUAGCUGAAAAGAGCCACUGAAACGCCUCCCGACCUAACCCCGUACACCUAACGGGAGUACAUGAGGCACGAAGGGGUGUCUGAGAGCACACCCCUCGGCAGAAGCAAAUCUGAGGGGAGAAAAUUAGUGUGAUUAUUGCUCCUCCUGUUCUAUAAAGUGAGGCAGAUUAAUGUAUCUGCUUUACAAAGGUGGACGUCUUCAGAAUGCAACAGAAGAAUGCAAAACUGAUUCAACACCUAUGAGAUGUUUGUGUCAUGGCCUAGAAGCCAUGAAGAAGCUAGAACUAAGAGCAGUUUAUGCCACAUGUGGAAUUGCACCGCUAUUGUCCAGAAUGGAAGGAAAAUUGCAGCCACUAUGAGUAGAAGUGUCAAUGGUUUACGGGCGUUCAGCCCGGUUCCGUGAUGAAGGGGACAGGGAACCCACGGGCCCACGCCCCGGGAAAAGGGGGCUGUAGGAAGAAACAGUAGUGGCUUUGGAUCGGAGCUUAUUGCUGCAGGAAGCUGAAGCAACAUCUGUUGAGUCAGACCUGAUGAGAAUCCUGCCCAGACAGUGGCCUCAGGCAGAUAGUUUUAGGAGAAAAGGAGCUCUGUGGAGAUCUCUGGAAAAGCAGCAUUUGUCUUGCUACCACUGAGACUUCCAGGUGUGUGGUCCAUUCCUCUACACUGGUUGAUACUUGUUAUGAAUUAGAUUCUCUCAUUCCAAGUUUUUUGAAUAUGAAGAAGGUGCCUAAAGUUCUGACUUUCCUCAUGAGAGGAAUCAUCAUCUUAGUUAGGUAUGAGUGGCUGGAUGAACAAACUCAACUGCAGUCUAAUUACAGCUUGUUGCAAACCAAGGUCCCUCGAACAGUCAGCUCCUAGAACCAGCUCCUUUCUGGACACUGACGGGAGUAGGGAAGGCUGCCCUUCAAUGUAAGGAGAUAUCUCUGACAGCUGGACUGUAAAAUAAACCCCUGACUACCACACUAAACUUCUAUCUGGUAAAUUAUACUUUCUUGGGAGUUUUCUUGCUUAUCUUGUUUGAUUUUCCAUUUUAAUAUGUACUAAAACAGGAAAAUAUCAAUAAGUUUGACUUCAAAUUCCACUUGCCACGCUGCCUUUGGCACACAUGCACUUACACUAACUCAAACAUCAAGCAAAAACCUGAGAACUGAAUAGCUAACCUUGAAUUCUUGAGUCAGAUGCCCACCAUGUUUUCAGAAGUGUGAUUUUCUUCUAUUUAGUGACAAGUUCUUACAAACGUAUUGCACCAGUUGUACAAUACACAGGUGAAAGUAACUUCAGUCAUGAUUCUUUACCAGUAAUGUAUUGAUACUAAGUUUGUAGCUAUAUGUAGUCUUUUCUAAGUAUCUUAGCAGGAAGCAACAAUGACUUUUUGACACCCUUUAAAAUGGGAAAUUAAUUACCACUAUUUUUUCCCUUUCUUCAUAUGCUUCAACAGAAAAUAUCCUUUUGAUGAUACUUAGCAUCCCUUUAACUUCCUUUUUGUUCAUUUGCAUUGUUUAUUUGUAGUGUUUGUUUUUCAUAUGUAAUAAAACUAUCUCACGUUGAAAAGUCAAGAACUCCACAGAUACAAUACUGCCCCUGAUGCAUUAUUUGAUUGUCGUUAAUUUGAAAGGAAAUUACUAUUAAAAACAAGUCUCAGGUACAAAUUGAGGUGGUAUAUCAGCCAAUAUCCUUGUGUUUCUGUGCAAUGUUGUACGAUGACCUGGACAGUUCUUCAUAAGCCAUAGUACAGAAGACAUGGGCACUAAUAAUUUAGGAUUCUGUUCACAUUUUUGCCCAGGCACAAUGUGCUGCAAAUCUUCAUUAGGUCUCACUGUACCCCUUUAGGAUAGCUCCGUACUGUGAAAUCAAUUCCAAGGUAACAUAAACAGCUACUUAUGAAGAAGUAUCUUCAUUCACUAUUGUUUUAAUCUUUUGUUCUAACCGUCAGUUAGCACUUCCUCACUGAAGUAUUCAUGCAUUGGCAUACAUCCAUUUACACUAAGACUCAUACAUC